AAUCAACGCUGGCGGCGCGCCUAACACAUGCAAGUCGAACGAGAAAGUGGAGCAAUCCAUGAGUACAGUGGCGUACGGGAGAGUAACACGUGGAUGAUCUACCUUUUAGUGGGGAAUAACUCUGGGAAACCGGAGAUAAUACCGCAUAAUCCCGAGAGGGGAAAGCAGCAAUGCGCUGAAAGAGGAGUCCGCGGCCGAUUAGCUAGUUGGCAGGGUAAAAGCCUACCAAGGCAAAGAUCGGUAGCCGGCCUGAGAGGGCACACGGCCACACUGGCACUGAAACACGGGCCAGACUCCUACGGGAGGCAGCAGUGGGGAAUCUUGCACAAUGGGGGAAACCCUGAUGCAGCGACGCCGCGUGAGCGAUGAAGCCCUUCGGGGUGUAAAGCUCUUUCGGCAGGGAAGAUGAUGACGGUACCUGCAGAAGCAGCUGCGGCUAACUACGUGCCAGCAGCCGCGGUAAUACGUAGGCAGCAAGCGUUGUUCGGAGUUACUGGGCGUAAAGGGUGUGUAGGCGGUUAUUUAAGUUUGGUGUGAAAUCUCCCGGCUCAACCGGG
rnacentral:rRNA from 1 species